CCAUGGGCCUGCUCUUCUUUUGUUGCUCACCCUCUUAUCUCUUUUAUCGUCUCUUGAUGGCCGCUGCUGAUUUAUGCUCGAGUGGAAGUACAUGUGCUACCUCCUCCAGGCUGCUAAUGCCUCCUAGCUUCCGCCAGACCGCCCCAAGUAGAUGCAAAUGGGAAAAUUGUUCAGAGAGUUGGUGCAGUAGAGCCUUAAAUUCAAUGAAUCGAUCUCUACAAAAGUGCUAGAGACCAACUUGCACCAAGAGCAUGGGAGAUGGUUGCUGCACAGCUUGAUAAUACAUAUGGAGAUUGGUUGAGAUACAAUAUCUUCCAGACACACGGGUGAGAACAUUCCCGGUGAGAUUCAUACAAGCGAGUGACAUCAGGGUCAUGUUGAUGCUACAAUGGACAAGAGUAAUAUAUUUAAUGUGCUGGCACAACAAUGGCUCUGGUUGAUUGCCAUAUACUGUUAAGACAUUUCUCCAUGCCUGAUGCUUAGUCUUUGAACUAUCAUUUAAAAUUCGAAGGUGCAUCUAUUAAGUGUUGUUACUUGACUAUUUGAAAAACUGAAACAUAAUGAGUAAUCAAGGUCAAUGAAUUUCUGCAAUGCUUUUAGAGAUACUGUCGAAUGCUCACAUCAGGCAGGAUAGGCUUAGGCCAAAUAGACAGCCUAUUGUGUACAUACAGUUGUCUGAUAAUUUCCUAAGAAGCUAAUAAUCAGGUUUUUGUGCGUCGAAUGACUGUAACGGUUACGUUACUGUUACUGCAUAGAUAGACAAAUAUUAGAUGUGAUUUAAUGCUUCAUAGAUAGUCACAUCAAAUCCAUGCUUAUAGAGACGCCUGCUAUGCGCUGUGCACACUUCUUCUUUCUCUAAUUUUUGGGUCGAUUAGUAGUUUCUGUGAAGAUUUUGUUUACCGCACCGCUUUACCAGAUUCUCUUUCCGCUUCACCAUAGACCUUUCAUUUAUAUUCUUUUUUACUUUGCUCUGCUCUUCCUGGAGUCUACUAUUUUCAGCAACCAAUGCAUAGAUUCACCACAUUACAUGUACAUGGAUAGUCAUUGGAUUAUUGUCUUACUUAACUAAGGUGAUUUUCCUAUUUUUUCCUGAUUUAGUUAUCUGAUUAUUUCAUUUUACUUCUAGAUACAUCUAAAAUCUUCUGACCAUCGGAGUCCUGACUUGAAUCUAAGAAGCCUUCUUCCUCAGUGGGCUAUCUCUAGGAUUACCUGUGAGUAGAGUACUUGGGUCUUUUGUAUACAGGUAGCCACCACCGUUUAUCCUGCACUGACUGAUGGAUCAAGUUAGGCAUGCAUGAGAUAAGGUUGUUAUCGCUUUUUUUGGGGGCAUGCAACAUGGAAGGAGCACUGAAAAUUGAUUCUAAUAAAGGUGAUGUAUCCUGCUGCUUAGGGAAGGCCAAGCCUGUUGAUUUUUUCCUUCCAUAUAUCAGCUAGGCUAAUGAAUUUUGUGAUAAGGCAAAGUUGUGUUAAACUGAUCUUUGUACUCCCCUUGGGUGUUGGUCAUCAUAUUAGCUAUUUGGAAACUGAUCAGUGUGUACGUUAUUUUUAUAUUGAAAUAUUUGUACAUCUCACUAGCGUACUUUGUCUUCAAAUCUUCAUUCUUCAAUUCUUGGCUACCUUGAGGGCACGGCGUGCCGCUGCGCCAAUCCUUGCUUCAUGACCAUAUAAUGUUUCGAGAUGUUCCACUCUCUUCAUGACUGUUGUUCUUGGGGACUUUUGAUGCUUUGAGAUCUUCUACUCUACAAGUUUAGAAUUCUCAUGAUCCAGAAGCAUAUGAGUAUAAUUUUACAUUGUAUCUUGGCUUGGCAUUUUGAGAACAGAAUAUUUACUACAACAUUUUCUCACAGAAAA